CUCCGGGCCGGCGGGCGGGGCUGAGCGGCGGGCGAUGGCGGCAGAGCGGGGCCCUGCGGCCCCCCGGGGCGGGUGGGUGCUGCUCGCCCGCCGCCUGAUGGCUGGCGGGUGAGGGGCGAGAGAACCAACGGCUGCUAGGACUUCAGCAGGGCCUUUGGUACGGUUCCCCCGUUGCAUCAUCUCCUGCAGGGGCUGGCAGCACGGACAGUUAUGUUGAUUAAAUUAUUUAGAAGGGUUAAAUUACAUGGUGGAAAGCUGCAGGGGACCAUGCACCUGGUGUGCCCCUGGGCAGAAACGUGAAGCAUCCUUAAGCAUGGAGAACUUCAUUCUCUAUGAAGAGAUAGGAAGAGGAAACAAGACAGUUGUUUAUAAAGGAAGAAGAAAGGGGACAAUUAAUUUUGUUGCAAUUCUUUGCACUGAUAAAUGCAAAAGAGCUGAAAUAACAAACUGGGUUCGUCUGACUCAUGAAAUCAGACACAAGAAUAUAGUGACAUUCCAUGAAUGGUAUGAAACAAGCAACCAUCUCUGGCUUGUAGUGGAAUUGUGCACAGGUGGUUCUCUAGAAUCUCUUAUUGCUCAAGAUGAACAUCUACCUGAAGACGUAGUGAGAGAAUUUGGUGUAGACUUGAUUACUGGUUUACACCACAUUCAUAAUCUUGGAAUUAUCUUCUGUGAACUGACACCUGGAAAGAUCCUGCUGGAAGGACGUGGUAGUUUGAAAUUCAGUAAUUUUUGCUUGGCGAAAGCAGAUGGUGAAAAUCUGGAAGAGCUUUUUGAUUUAAUUUCCUCUGAAGAACCAGGAGGAGAUGUCAGUGAAGGCACUCCACAAAGAUGCGUGAAAGACAGAUUUCGAGGCAACCCAGUAUACAUGGCUCCAGAAGCAAUAAAGGGAGAAGACUUUUCCAAAUCCAGCGAUCUGUGGUCCUUGGGAUGUUUACUUUAUGAAAUGUUUUCAGGAAGACCACCAUUCUUCUCAGACAACUCCUCUGAGUUAGUUGAAAAGAUUCUGUAUGAAGAUCCACUGCCACCUAGACCAGCGGGUUCUGCUUCCCAGAAACCUUCUGCAGACUUCAUUAGUUUACUUGAUGGCUUGCUUCAAAAGGAUCCUCAAAAGAGGUUGAAUUGGACAGACCUGUUGCAGCACCCAUUCUGGAAAGGCUCUCUUGGCCACUGCGAUGGUGAUUCUGCAGACAGCCAGGGACCAAGCUUAAGCAAUGAGGACGCAGUAUCAUCUGUGUCUUGGAAUACCAAGGAGCCAGAAGGAGCUUAUAAAAAUCUGUCAUCUUCUACAGUGGAUAUUAAGCUACAAAGAAAUUCCUUCAAAAUAGUAGAAAAUCCAGCUGAGCUGCGCCCCAAAAAUGUAGUUGAUGGUGAAUUAAAUGAAUCCAUAUUUCUUCUCAGUUCUCGUCCUACUCCUAGAACCAGCGUUACAGUAGAAGUAAGUGAUGUUACUACUGCCCCAAUCCAAAAUUCUCAUCAAAGAGAUUCAUGCUUGACAAAGGAUAAAAAUAGGUGCUCAAGUCAGCAGGAUAUGGAGUCAACAUUGAAAGAGCUCAUUUACACUGAAUCUGAUCUUAUCGUGACACCAAUCAUUGACAAUCCAAAGAUAAUGAAGCAAGUGCCAGUCAGAUUUGACUUGAAAACUUUAUCUAUACCAGCAUAUUCAGCUGAGAAGUUAUCGUCUAUGAAAGACGUGGACUGGAAUGACUUCUUGCAACAAGCAACUUCAUUGCUUGAUUCCACUGAGAAAAAUGCAGGAGCAGCACGUUCUAAACUGAAUUUACUCUAUUACCUGUGUACUGUGGCUGUCCACAAGGAAGUUGCAAGUCGGCUGGUUAACUCUCACCUGUUUCCAGUGUUAAUACAGCAGCUGCGUGCAGCCGCCAACUGGGAUAUACGUGCUAAAGUUGCUCGGGUGAUUGCUUUACUGGCAUUACACACAUCUGAACUCAGAGAAAAUGUACCUGUUUCUGAGGCAAUUAUACUUCUAACUGAACUCAUCAGAGAGAACUUCAGGAAUAGCAAAUUGAAACAAUGCCUUUUACCAGCACUUGGGGAGCUUCUUUACCUCGUAGCCAGUGAGGAAGAAAAAAAAGAGCACCCCAGAGAAUGGUUGGUUGUUCCCUCAGCAGCUUACACUGUGCUAAUGAGGUGUCUUCGGGAAGGGGAAGACCGAGUAGUGAACCAUUUGGCAGCAAAGAUCAUUGAAAAUGUUUGCACUACUCUCUCUUGCUAUGCACAAGGAUUUAUUACAGGAGAAAUUGGACCUGUCUUAUGGUACCUUUUCACACAUUCUACAGUAGAUUCUUUGAAGAUAACUGCUAUUUCGGCUUUAUGCAGAAUUACUCGGUGUUCACCCAGUGCUUUCCAGAGCGUCAUUGAAAAAGUGGGAUUAACAGCUGUCCUGAAUUCCUUGGCAACUGGAAUAUGCAAAAUUCAGCAGUACAUGCUCACCAUGUUUUCUGCAAUGUUGUCAUGCGGGAUUCAUCUGCAGAGGCUGAUUCAAGAAAAGGAAUUUGUGACUACAAUUACACGUUUACUUGAAAGUCCUUCAACUUUCAUACGAGCAAAAGCCUUUCUGGUCCUGUUACAAGUUUUAAUUAAUAACAGGGAGAUGUUGCUACUCAGUUGUCAAGCAAGACUUGUGAUGUAUAUUGAAAGAGACAGCAGAAAGACCACACCAGGAAAAGAGCAGCAAAGCGGCAAUGAAUACCUGUCAAAAUGCCUGGAUCUUCUCAUCUAUCACAUUGUGCAGGAGCUGCCAGGAAUUCUAGGUGACAUUCUCAAUGCCUUAACAAAUGUCUCUGGACGCAAACACCCAUCAACGCUUCAGGCCAAACAGCUGAAGAUGUGCCUUCCCAUGAUGCCUGUAGUACUUCAUCUAGUGACAUCCCAGGUAUUUCGUCCCAGGAUAGUCACAGAGGAGUUUCUUUUCAACUAUGGGACCUUACUUAAUUUUAUCCGAUCGAUAGAUUCAGGAGAAACCAACUUGGAUGGAGCAAUAGGACCAGCUGCAUCAGAAGAAUUGAUUAAGACUACUUUAGCAACAUUUGAAGCAGUAACACAGCAUCCUGUCUUGUUGACAAGCCAUCGCACGACAGUUGAAGACUGCGUUCUCCCACCACUAGUUUCUUUGGUCCAUGGUCAGAAUGUGGAAUGGAGACUCUUCAGCUUGCGGUUGCUCUCAGAAACCACAUCACUGCUCUUAAGCCACGAGGUCAUGGCUGAGGAGAAAGGGGAGAGCCUCGACUCAAACAGCAAGCUUCUGUCUCUCAUUAGAGAUUCCUUGCUGCCUCAGUAUGAGUACAUUCUGAUGGCUCCAGACCCAGUACCAGUGUAUGCUCUGAAACUGCUAGUGGCCUUGACUGAACACAGCCCCGCUUCUGUGAGCUUUGUGGAAGAAAACCAUCUUUUUCCAGCUCUUUUCCAAGUCAUUUUGGAACACCAAGACAAUAUACUAGGAAAUACAAUGCAAACUGCAGUUGCCUUACUGAAUAACGUGGUUGCUAACAAAAGCACAAACAUGAUGCUACUCUUCACAGAAGUAUAAAAUAUAUGGCAUACUCCAGAAGGAAAAGGAAGAAGUUUGUGUAGAGAGAGAAGAAACAGCUGUGUCUCUUCUGAAGCCAAAAGGAAACCUUUUGAAAGUCUCUAGGAAAAGAUUGAGAAGAUCCACUCUGAAGUUGGUGGUGUGAGACUCAUAGGGCCAGAAGAAAAGGAAAAUGUAAUUGAGUUGGAGAGGGAUGGUUUGUAUGUUUCUGAUUACUUGGUUGUUUCUCAGUAAAGUGCCUGUUACCCUUGAAACUGCUUGGAGUUUAUUGGAGGUGAGAUGUGUCUAUUGCUUUUUCUUUCUUUGGGCACAUCUCCUGUGUGUUGGGCUAGCACUGAUCUAAUCCUAAACUAGUGCUGGUCUGAGCUGCAGCAGGAUCACAGAAUCAUCUAGUUUCUUGCAAGAGACUUCCAAGAUCACCAAGUCCAACCUCUGACCUAACACUAACAAGUCCUCAAGGAUAACUUCUUAAAACAGCACAAUGAUAUACAAAGAAGUUAGCUCACGUGUGCCUUACUCAAAAUAAUAUGCUCUGUCUUUCUGCAUGGCAAAACUAUUCAACAGCAUAGCAAAACUGAACCCAUUCUGUAAACAUCUCCCCUUUAUUGUCCUACUAAGUCAACUCCCUUAUGCUUUUUAUGCUGGUAGUAUGUCAGUGCUCUUCCACUUCUCAUCUGCUCCUAAAUAAAAUGCAUCUCUUCCAUCAUGAUAGUUUCCAAAUCAAAGAAGUGGGGUAGCAACAUUAUUAAAGUCUUUUAUCAUUUUCAAGUGCUAUGUCAUAAAUAACUUCAGUAAUGUUUUCAGACUAUUAGUGAUUGGAUAACUCUAACUUGGGCUCACUGAACUUCAUCAUCCUAACUAGGAAAAACAGCACAGCAGCCAAAAACAAUUUAUCUGAAGUAAAAUAUCGCUAUCUUCUCCUAUCCCUUUUACCAAUGGGUUAAUCUUCAGAGUACUGAAAAUGCGGGUUGUAGCCAUUGCUUUGUUUAUUAAGGGCCUAACUGUCAAGUGCAUAACUUCUGAAAUUUGGUUUUUAGAAAUGUUAUGAAGGUAUUGAUUUUGUAAUUGUAGCCUGUAAGGCUUUCUUCAAACAAAACUAGGAGAAACGUUAUUCUGCCCAAACUGGAAGUCUUUUUAUCCUUUUCCUUGCUAGCCAUAAAUAUAUGGGGUUCACUACAAGAAAAUAUCUUAAACUUUCUCUGCCGCCAUCUUUGAUGUUCAGCUUUGUCAUUUUUGAAUGACUCUAGUGUAAGGGAGAAGAGUGUGAUCCAGUGAAAUGGCCACUAAGCUCCCUCUUGCAGAAAAGGAUCUUGGGGACCAAAUGAAAAAGUUGAACUUAGGUCAGCAGUGUGCCUUUGCAGCAAUAAGGGCAAAAGUGAACUACAAGAAGAAAGAAUAAAUGGAAGGUCAAGGGAAGUGAUUGUUCUCUAUUCUUGUGAGAUUGUGUCUGGAAUGCUGUUUUCAGUUUUGGGCUCCAAACUACAAGGCAAACAGGAGCCAAGUCUAGAGGAGAACCGCCAGGGUGGGUAGGAGUGUUGAAUACACUGUGUGUGUAUUUGCAGCCUCUGCCUGUAGCAUUACCUGAAGUUAUUCCUUCCCAAGUGCAGAACGUUGUAUUUGCCUUUGUUGAACAUCAAAGAGGCUUUUGGCAGGCUGCUUCUUGAGCUCUUUCUAAUUGUUGGCUCAACCUUUCACUGCAUCAACUGCUUGCCUCAUUUCAAUGUCAUCUGCAAACUUGCUGAAGGUGCAUGUUAUUCCGUUGUAUUAAUGCUCUCUGUCCAGGCUGUUAAUGAAGGUAUUCAACAUUCAUGAGCUGUUCUGCUGCCUAAGAAAAAUGCUGAAGUAUUAUGGGACAUCAGUUUCCCUUAUUCUCCUAUUACAGUGUGAUGAUUGAUUGGUGUAUAUGUGGAGCUUUAGAAAUUAAAAAUCUUAAAUACAUGAUAAAUGUUAUAAGGAGAUCAUGUUAAGGGGUCAGUCCUGUCAAGUUAUUUAGUUUCCAAGAGUCCAGACAUUAGCAAUGAGUAUUUCUUUCCAGUUCCAUGUAUGCCUUUCCUCAGCUGCCAAGAAAGCAGUAUUUUUGCAGACAGAUCAUUCAGGGACCCCAGUCACUGUUUCCUUCUGUGCCUGUUAGCUUUUGGAACUCUAUUCUGCUCAGUGCAGCUCUAUUAGGUGAUAGAGAUUUUUAUUUUUAUUUUUAAUGGGAUGCAGCUUACAUGUUGAACUUUCCCCUUUUUCAAGGAAAUCUUGCAUGAUAGCACUUGCUUCAUUACUACUUCUGUGAUUUCAAAUUAAUAACAGUGAUACAGUUGAGCAUUUCAGGGACUUGCAUACAGGGUGGACUGUCUAGCAUUAAUUUCUCUCUCCCCUGAACUGUGUCCUUGUGUGACAAUACAUCAGACAUGUAAUGAUAACCACCUGUAACAUUUAAAGGUGAAAUGGAGAUUAACAUAUGCAACUGAAGUUGCAGAGGGACUUUAAAAUGGCCUCUACUGUGUUAUCAGCUAUUAAACAUUUGUUCUGUUAACAUUAACAACAAUUUCCACUUAAUAAUCAGAGCGGAAUAAUAUGAUUCAGUUUAAUUACUGAGACUGGAAGUCAGUAAAGAGACUGGGAUUAGUAUAUGGUCUCUUGUGGAAAGUUAAGAUGAGAUGCUAACAAGCCAAGACAAUAUUGAUCAUUUUUAGUGUGGUUUUCUAAGAAUGUGAAACUUACUCUCUGUCCCUUGUCUCAGCUUCUGGCUGCCAGUCUCUCUUUCCUCCCUUUCCCCAUCCUCUGAAAUUAUUGGACAAUUGUAAACUGAUUUGAGAGAGCAUAGAGGCUGCAGGGGGAGAAGGGGGACAGGGACUGCAAUCAAUACUACUCCUCCCAGUUUGAUGCCAGUGUCAGUGACAGAUGCCCAGAGCUUGGACAAGGGUCACAGGUCAGCAGGAGAGCACCCGAAGAGCAGCACAAAGGAAUUCCAGCCAGUAAGUCAGCUUAUCAGGGGGCCAGCCUAAACGUCUCUGUGCUAACACACGUAGCAUGGGGAAUAAACAAGAGGAGUUAGAGAUGUACACAUGCCUGCGGGACUGUGACCUCCUUGGCAUUCUGGAGAUGUGGUGGGACAGAUGGCUCCCAUCACUGGAGUGUUGUAAUGGAAGGAUGCAGGCUUUUUAGGGAAGACAGGAUGAGGAGAUAAAGAGGGGAUAUUGCCCUCUAUGUCAGUGAGCAGCUGGAGUGCAUGGGGCUCUGCCUGGGGAUGAAUGAGGAGCUGACAAAGAGCUUGUGGCUGUGGAUUUAAGGCAGUGCAGAGACAGGUGACGUUAUAGUGUAAGUCUGCUACAGGCCACCUGAUCAGGAAGACCAGGCAGAUGAGGCCCUGUCCAUGAAAUGAUGCAAUUUUGGAUCCAGAGGACAGUGAAGAGGGAGCACAGCACGCUCACUACCCUGAACUUUGGAAGAGCAGACUGGCCUCUUCAGGGGUCUGGUUGUUAGAGUACCAUUAGGUUAGGCCCAUCUUCCUUGAG